CUGCUAGUAAAAGGCGCUUUCUGCAGUGUCGGCUGGGAUCCCGCACAGCUGUGGCAGCCAGGGCUGCGGCGGCGGCUCGGUAGCUGCUUGCGUCCCCGAUGCCCCUGCUGCUGCUGCUGGUCUCUGCUCCAGACGCGCUCAGAAGGUGCCACCGCCGCCUUCUCUGCCCGGCUGGCCGCCGGGAGUGAACGCGCCCCCGCCUCCUGUCUGCUCUUCUGUCCGUCUGCACGUCUGUCAGUCCGACCGUCUGUCGGUCCGACUAGCAGCUCAGCGCGGGAUUCUCGCUUUCCUGCACUCUGCUCUCAAAGCUGCCACUCUCGCAGGCUGCCAGUCUGUGCACUGGUCUGUCCGUCCGUCCGAAUCUCUCCGUCCCACCAGCAAUGCAGCGUCCCUCUUCCGGUCUUCUGUGCCCACAGUCCUCUCCCACUCUGUGCCCCUGGCCGCUUCGCUCGGAUAAGGAUACAGAUAUUCGGGAAUACAUUAAAAAACUGGAAACCUCAAUGGGAUAGAAAGAAUUUGAUAUGAAUCAUCAGCUGAACAAUUCAGAGUUACUUUCACUUUACUACAUGUAAUUGUAAUCUAAGGUCCAUCAGUAUCUACCUGCUCUUACCUACCUGAACUUACAGCUCAAUACACUGCCCAGUCAUCCUGGAAUCAGGAAGGGCCAUGUGACAAGUUGUCGUCAGUGAGAUGUGGAUGGAACUGACAUAUAAUACUUUUGGACUAAGGCAAUGAAAAACCUCUGUGGAGUCCUCUACGUUCUCCUUGACCCUCACACAGUGAUAGAAAAGGUCAAAUGACAGAAGAGGUUGAGACAGUCCAGUUGUCAGAUGACAGAGACUCCGUCAGCCUAAGUUGCUAAGUGACUGUGAGGAGCUGACUUCAACACUGACCCAGUCGGAUAUGUAAUUAAGCAAGAAAAAAAUACUGUGUUUUAAGCUACAAUGAUUUGGAAUUGCUUAUUCCUAUAGCAGACCCAGACUGUUCUAAUUUAUAAACUCUCUACUUGUCUAACAGCAUGUGAGAGAGUAACAUGUACUGUAGGAAACAGAGUCCAGGCCUGGGAUUAAGGAGACAAGAAUUUUGGUCCUGAACCUGCCACCAUAGCUAUGAGACUUAAGUCAUUUCUACCUUCAUGCUUCAUUUAUUUAUAUUUCUAAGUUUCUAAAAUUAGGUGAUAAGAAUUAGUUUUCAUCUAACCAAUGCCACGAUGUUUUAAUUACUGACAAUUUAUAAUAAAGCUUCAUGUCUUCCAGGCAAGACCCCAUUCUUCUUCUUUUCAGUAUUAUUUUGACAUUUUAA
rnacentral:lncRNA from 1 species